AAUCCGUGUUGAGGGUAUUGACGAAAUAAACUCGUGUAUCGUUCCCAAGCCUCAAAAUAACAUUCUGAGUCCAGUUGUUGGAAAGUAGUAAUUUCAUCCAUUAGCUU
rnacentral:snoRNA from 1 species